rnacentral:rRNA from 1 species
GACGAAUGCCGGCGGCGUGCUUAACACAUGCAAGUCGAACGGAAAGGCCCUGCUUUUGUGGGGUGCUCGAGUGGCGAACGGGUGAGUAACACGUGAGUAACCUGCCCUCGACUUUGGGAUAACUUCAGGAAACUGGGGCUAAUACCGGAUAGGAGCUCCUGCUGCAUGGUGGGGGUUGGAAAGUUUCGGCGGUUGGGGAUGUACUCGCGGCUUAUCAGCUUGUUGGUGGGGUAGUGGCUUACCAAGGCUUUUACGGGUAGCCGGCCUGAGAGGGUGACCGGCCACUCUAUGUCUGACAUACGCCCCAGACUCCUACGGGAUGCAGCAGUGAGGAAUAUUGCACAACGGGCCGAAGCCUGAUGCAGCAACGCCGUGUGCGGGAUGACGGCCGUCGGGUUGUAAACCGCUUUCGAAUGAGACAAAGCCUGAGCGACGUUAAUGAGCAAAGAAGCACCGGCUAACUACGUG